GAGACUCUGUGCGCGCGCAUAUCAAUAAGCGGAGGAAAAGAAACUAACAAGGAUUCCCCUAGUAACGGCGAGUGAAGCGGGAAGAGCUCAAAUUUGAAAUCUUAAAGGGUUUCCCUUUACGAAUUGUAGUUUAAAGAAGUGUUUUCUGUUGGAGUUUCAGUAAAAGUUCUUUGGAAUAGGACAUCAUAGAGGGUGAGAAUCCCGUAUUUGACCGUUACUUUCCAGCUGUGUGAUACACUUUCAAAGAGUCGGAUUGUUUGGGAAUGCAGUCCAAAAUGGGUGGUAAAUUUCAUCUAAAGCUAAAUAUUGGCGAGAGACCGAUAGCGAACAAGUACCGUGAGGGAAAGAUGAAAAGAACUUUGAAAAGAGAGUUAAACAGUACGUGAAAUUGUCAAAAGGGAAGCGUUUGACACCAGUGUUGUUUUCUCGAAAAUCAAUUAAAAUGGUGGGAUUCUGUGUUGUAUUGACUUUAUCAGCUUUCUGCACUUUUUUCUUAUCUUUUUUAAUGCACUUUUCGUUUAACAAGUCAACAUCAAUUUCUUUUGUUGUAAAAGAGUCAUUGGAAGGUGGCUUUUUCUUCGGAAAAAGUGUUUAUAGCCUUUGGCUUCUGCAAUCGGAGAGAUUGAGGUCUGCAGCGUAGAUCCUUCGGGGUUAGAUACAUUUGUGCUAAGCUAUAGCCUUGUAUAGACAACUUGUUGACUAUGCUCAGUCAUGUAGCUUACUCGCUGAUGCUAUUUUACCUACGCUUAGGAUGUUGAUCUGUAGUGCGUGCGC
rnacentral:rRNA from 1 species